AUCCAGAGACGAGUCCAAAGCAGGACGAAAUGCACAUCUUGGAU
rnacentral:hammerhead_ribozyme from 1 species